rnacentral:rRNA from 1 species
UACGGAGGAUCCAAGCGUUAUCCGGAAUCAUUGGGUUUAAAGGGUCCGUAGGCGGUUUAGUAAGUCAGUGGUGAAAGCCCAUCGCUCAACGGUGGAACGGCCAUUGAUACUGCUAGACUUGAAUUAUUAGGGAAGUAACUAGAAUAUGUAGUGUAGCGGUGAAAUGCUUAGAGAUUACAUGGAAUACCAAUUGCGAAGGCAGGUUACUACUAAUGGAU